AGUGAACGCUGGCGGUAGGCCUAACACAUGCAAGUCGAACGGCAGCACAGUAAGAGCUUGCUCUUACGGGUGGCGAGUGGCGGACGGGUGAGGAAUACAUCGGAAUCUACUUUUUCGUGGGGGAUAACGUGGGGAAACUUACGCUAAUACCGCAUACGACCUACGGGUGAAAGCAGGGGAUCUUCGGACCUUGCGCGAUUGAAUGAGCCGAUGUCGGAUUAGCUAGUUGGCGGGGUAAAGGCCCACCAAGGCGACGAUCCGUAGCUGGUCUGAGAGGAUGAUCAGCCACACUGGAACUGAGACACGGUCCAGACUCCUACGGGAGGCAGCAGUGGGGAAUAUUGGACAAUGGGCGCAAGCCUGAUCCAGCCAUACCGCGUGGGUGAAGAAGGCCUUCGGGUUGUAAAGCCCUUUUGUUGGGAAAGAAAAGCAGCAGGUUAAUACCCCGCUGUUCUGACGGUACCCAAAGAACAAGCACCGGCUAACUUCGUG
rnacentral:rRNA from 1 species